rnacentral:rRNA from 1 species
UCCUACGGGAGGCAGCAGUAGGGAAUCUUCCGCAAUGGACGAAAGUCUGACGGAGCAACGCCGCGUGAGUGAUGAAGGCUUUCGGGUCGUAAAACUCUGUUGUUAGGGAAGAACAAGUGCUAGUUGAAUAAGCUGGCACCUUGACGGUACCUAACCAGAAAGCCACGGCUAACUACGUGCCAGCAGCCGCGGUAAUACGUAGGUGGCAAGCGUUAUCCGGAAUUAUUGGGCGUAAAGCGCGCGCAGGUGGUUUCUUAAGUCUGAUGUGAAAGCCCACGGCUCAACCGUGGAGGGUCAUUGGAAACUGGGAGACUUGAGUGCAGAAGAGGAAAGUGGAAUUCCAUGUGUAGCGGUGAAAUGCGUAGAGAUAUGGAGGAACACCAGUGGCGAAGGCGACUUUCUGGUCUGUAACUGACACUGAGGCGCGAAAGCGUGGGGAGCAAACAGGAUUAGAUACCCUGGUAGUCCACGCCGUAAACGAUGAGUGCUAAGUGUUAGAGGGUUUCCGCCCUUUAGUGCUGAAGUUAACGCAUUAAGCACUCCGCCUGGGGAGUACGGCCGCAAGGCUGAAACUCAAAGGAAUUGACA